rnacentral:lncRNA from 1 species
ACAUGUGUGAUAGCGAUGACUUCAUUCGCGCUCCAGUUGGUGGGCGUGGCCAGUUGCAUCCAUACAGAACGUCACGUCACUAGAUCAAAGCCUACUUGUUGGUAGGACAGGAAAGAUGGCACGACGAGUUUUCCUUGAAGGAAAAACAAGAACGACAAAAAUGUUAACCGAGGAAUCAGCGGACAUCAUACGUAACAUGCCAGGCUAUGUUUCCGAACACCGGCCUAGAGUUUUGAAGGGGUCAAAGGUGGGGAAGCAUCCAAACAAAACAUGGGGGCCAAAUGAAGUGAAAUUGCCUGAGACCAUCAAGAUCAUUCCUGGGGAUGAACGACCGCGUGCAAUUCCUCCUCGGCGGGAAAAACAAACUCUGGAGAUUCUCAACGAUAUGAAUAAUCAAGAGAAGAGCGUUGGGUUACCAAAAAUGAACAUUGCAUUGCGAGGGACGACCAAUGCAAGGCCAAACAUAGCCAGUAAAGGGCCACAGAGGGUAACCGUAUUCCCAGAGAUUACCCCUGCUGUGCCACGUAAAAAAGUGCGUACAUGUAUGGACACCUGCAAGGGAAUACAACAGGCUAAAGAACAGGAAAGAAGGAUUCAAGAACAUAAGGAUCGUAUUGCUAAUGCAAUUAUUGUGCAGAAGGACCUGGAGCGGCAGUUGCAAACCCUGUUUGUUGAGCAUCAUCACCUCCCAUUGCUCAUGGAUAUGCCUCGUCAUGAAAUACGCAAACACGAAAUUGAAGCGUCAAUGGACCAAGUGGAAAGGGACAUCAGGCUUGUCAGGAAUUUUAUAGCCUUAAACCAGUAAGACAGGGAUCUCACUGCUGCUGGUGUAUAAAUCUGUGAAUGGGUUUGGUCCAGAAUACAUCAGUGACAUGUUAGUCAGGUAUGAACCCAGCAGGUCUCUCAGAUCUAUGGACACAGGUCAGAUAGUGGAGCCCAGAGCUCACAGUAAACAUGGUGAUGCUGCUUUUAGUUGUUAUGCUGCAAAGAAGUGGAACAAACUGCCAGCAGAGCUGAAGUCAGCAUCCAAUGUGAACAUUUUUAAAUCAAAGUUAAAGGCACUUUUUUUCUCUACUGCAUAUGAUUGAGAGAGAGAUUUUUUGUCAUGUUGUUGAUGUAAUGAUGAUUUUACUGAUGAUUUUAAUUGAUUUUAAGUAAGUAAGUAAGUAAGUAAUAUUUAUUUAUAUAGCACCUUUUACAGACAGGAGUCACAAAGUGCUUCACAAUACAUACAGUGCAUACAAUACAAUACAAAUUACAGUUACUGUCACAAAAAUAUGAUGGUCAUAAAACAACCCUUUAUCACUGGAAUUUUAAAAUGCUUUCUGAAACAAAUAGGUUUUCAGUUGGCUCUUAAAAGCAUCAACGGAAUCAAGCAAACGCAAGGAAAACGGAAGAUCGUUCCAGAGCGUUGGCGCGACCGCCUGGAAGGAGCGAUCUCCUCUGGUCUUGUAACGGGUACGGGGGACCUUGAGCAGGUUCUGAUCCUGGGACCUCAGCCUCCGGGAGGGGGUAUAAGGACACAACAAGUCUCUAAUAUAGGAGGGAGCCUGACCAUGCAAGGCUCUGAAGGUCAGCACCAGAAUUUUAAAAUUGAAACGAAAAGUGACUGGGAGCCAAUGAAGGGCUUUUAGAAUGGGAGUAAUAUGGGCCCUUUUGUUUGUGCGAGUCAGUAACCUCGCCGCAGAGUUUUGUACCUGCUGAAGACGAGAC